GACGAACGCUGGCGGCGUGCCUAAUACAUGCAAGUCGAACGCACAGUUUAUACCGUAGCUUGCUACACCAUAAACUGUGAGUUGCGAACGGGUGAGUAACGCGUAGGUAACCUGCCUGGUAGCGGGGGAUAACUAUUGGAAACGAUAGCUAAUACCGCAUAAUAUUGAUUAUUGCAUGAUAAUUGAUUGAAAGAUGCUAUUGCAUCACUACCAGAUGGACCUGCGUUGUAUUAGCUAGUAGGUGAGGUAACGGCUCACCUAGGCGACGAUACAUAGCCGACCUGCGAGGGUGAUCGGCCACCCUGGGACUGGGACACGGCCCAGACCCCUGCGGGAGGCAGCAGUAGGGAAUCUUGGGCAAUGGACGAAAGUCUGACCGAGCAACGCCGCGUGAGUGAAGAAGGUUUUCGGAUCGUAGAGCUCUGUUGUAAGAGAAGAACGGGUGUGAGAGUGGAAAGUUCACACUGUGACGGUAUCUGACCAGAAAGAGACGGCUAACUACGUG
rnacentral:rRNA from 1 species